UUAAGUUUCCAUUAUGAAAAAGAAACGUUCUCUGUCGUGUCCUGGAAUGUACGAGGAUUAGGUGAUAAUGACAAGUGCGCUAACGUGUUCUCUGAAAUAAACCAAUUAAGGCCAUCAAUCACUCUGCUACAAGAAACAAAAUUGCAAAAACCAGAUUCCAUCAAACUAAGAUCGAUCUUACCACGCUUCCUAGAUUCCAAUAACCACCUCGAUGCAAUCGGAUCUGCCGGUGGUAUCCUAUCUGCUUCUAACUCUCGCUGCUUUUCGCUUCUUAACUGUCAACACAAACGUUUCACCUCCACCUUAACUCUAUCAUGCCUUGCCUCGCCACAUCACAUCUUCAUCACUAACGUUUACGCCCCCUCACAACGCGAACUAAAACUUGAAUUCCUAGACGAACUUAAGCAGAUUGAGCCUCCAAACCCAUCACCCUGGCUACUCAUUAGUGACUUUAACCUUACCCGAUUCCCUAAUGAGCGGAACAAUAACAACUUUAGACGAUCGGAAGCCGAUGCCUUCAAUGACACAAUUGAUCAACUGGCUCUAUUAGAACUCCCACUUCUAGACAAACAAUUUAGUUGGUCAAACAAAAGAUUAUCACCUACGCUAAUACGCUUAGAUAGAGUACUCAUUAACCUACCUUGGGAUGCUCUAUUCCCAAACACGCACCUAACCUCUCUUACUAGAUUCGUCUCCGAUCAC
rnacentral:rRNA from 1 species